rnacentral:rRNA from 1 species
CCUACGGGUGACAGCAGUGAGGAAUAUUGGUCAAUGGGCGGAAGCCUGAACCAGCCAAGUCGCGUGAGGGAUUAAGGCCCUGCGGGUCGUAAACCUCUUUUGCCGGGGAGCAGAGUUCCGGACGUGUCCGGGCCGGGAUAGUACCCGGAGAAAAAGCACCGGCUAACUCCGUGCCAGCGGCCGCGGUAAUACGGAGGAUGGGAGCGUUAUCCGGAUUUAUUGGGUUAAAGGGGUGGGUAGGCGGGCAUUUAAGCAGGUGGUAAAAUGUCGGGGCCCAACCCCGGCCUGCCGUCGAAACUGGGUGCCUUGAGUGGGCGAGAAGUAUGCGGAAUGCGUGGUGUAGCGGUGAAAUGCAUAGAUAUCACGCAGAACCCCGAUUGCGAAGGCAGCAUACCGGCGCCCAACUGACGCUGAGGCACGAAAGUGCGGGUAUCGAACAGGAUUAGAUACCCCUGUAGUC